rnacentral:tRNA from 1 species
GGAGCGUUAGCUCAGCGGGAGAGCACCACGUUGACAUCGUGGGGGUCACAAGUUCAAUCCUUGUACGCUCCACCA